ensembl:snRNA U6 U6 spliceosomal RNA
AUGCAUGGCUUCAGGAGCACAUAUGCUAAAAUUGGAAUGAUAUAGAGAUUAUCAUGCUCCUGAGCAAUGAUAACACGAAUAUUUGUGAAGAGGUCUAUGGAUUU